GGAGGACACGACUACCGGCGGGAGGAGUGCAUAACAGAUGCAAGUCGAACGAUGAACCUGCCCUUCAGAUGAUAUCUUCGGACAUGAACUUCAAGCUGGAUUCAGUGGCGAACGGGUGAGUAACACGUGAGUAACCUGCCUUACACAAGGGGAUAGCCUCUGGAAACGGAGAAUAAUACCCUAUAAAGUCUAAUCAGCCCAUGCUGGAAAGACCAAAGAUUUAUCGGUGUAAAGAUGGACUUGCGUCUGAUUAGCUAGUUGGUGAGAUAAAAGCUCACCAAUGGCGACGAUCAGUAGCCGGCUUGAGAGAGUGUACGGCCACAUUGGGACUGAGACACGGCCCAAACUCCUACGGGAGGCACGCAGUGGGGAAUUUUGCACAAUGGGGGAAACCCUGAUGCAGCGACGCCGCGUGACUUCCACGAACGGCCUUACGGGUUGUCAAAACAUCUUUUUCUCACGGGAUGAAAAUGACAGUACCGUACAGAAUAAGGUCCGGCUACAUACGUGCCAGCACGCCGCGGUAAUACGUAUGGACCGAGCGUAGUCCGGAAUCAUUGGGCCGUACAGGGUACGUAGGCAGGCCUAGUAAGUUCAGAAGUUACACCACUAAUAGCUCACCUAUAUCACACAGGUCAAACACUUGCUAGGCUCGCACAGAUGGAAGGGACACAGUGGGA
rnacentral:rRNA from 1 species